GCCGAAGUGGCGGAAUUGGCAGACGCGCAUGGUUCAGGUCCAUGUACCGGCAACGGUGUGGGGGUUCGAGUCCCUUCUUCGGCACCA
rnacentral:tRNA from 2 species